rnacentral:rRNA from 1 species
UGCAUGUCUCAGUGCAAGCCAAAUUAAGGUGAAACCGCAAAUGGCUCAUUAAAUCAGUUAUGGUUCAUUAGAUAAUAACAUUUUUCACUUGGAUAACUGUGGUAAUUCUAGAGCUAAUACAUGCAAACAGAGUUCUCACCGGUGACGGUAAGAACGCUUUUAUUAGAUCAAAACCAAUAUUGUUCGUCAACUUUGUUGCGUGCAUUUCUAUUUUGGUGACUCUGAAUAACUUUUUGAUGAUCGCAUGGUCUUUUGUACCGGCGACAUGUCUUUCAAAUGUCUGACUUAUCAACUGUCGAUGGUAGAUUUUGCGUCUACCAUGGUUAUAACGGGUGACGGAGAAUCAGGGUUCGAUUCCGGAGAGGGAGCCUGAGAAACGGCUACCACAUCCAAGGAAGGCAGCAGGCGCGUAAAUUACCCACUCCCGGCACGGGGAGGUAGUGACGAAAAAUAACGAUACGGGACUCAUCCGAGGCCCCGUAAUCGGAAUGAGUACACUUUAAAUACUUUAACAAGUAUCCAUUGGAGGGCAAGUCUGGUGCCAGCAGCUGCGGUAAUUCCAGCUCCAAUAGCGUAUAUUAAAGUUGUUGCGGUUAAAAAGCUCGUAGUUGNNNNUGUGUCCCGCACUGUUGGUGCGCCAUUUCUUGGUGUUUUACUGACAUGCUGCGGGACGUC